GUGUGUGUAUAAAUGUGCCUAAAAAAGUCCUUAGGUGACCAGAAGCCCUUUCCAAUUGGCGCACCGCGAUUGGACAUGCCUCUUGACCUUCUCCGACUCAAAUUCUUCCACAUUCUUUGCCCCGUUCACUUGUGUUUCAAACACAUUUUUGUUCCUUUGUGUCAGAGCCCAGCUAGGAAGACAGGAACCACUCUGAAUAUUUAAAACAGAGGAAAUUUAAUGCGAGGAGAUGAAAGAAAUGGAGAAGCCAAACAAGGGAUUGUGAGGCAAUCCAGAGACCAGCCACAGCAGGAACUUGCCGCCGCUCCUGGGCUGGAGAGACAAAGGGAGGAGGUGGUGCCACCCAAGCCCAGGGCCCGGGAUUGCCCAGAGGAAGCUGGGACUAUGACAGGCUUCCGGCCGGCCGGGAGCUGGAGCCAAGGGAGAGAGGCAGCAGCUGCCAGAGACGCCACCUCAGUACAGCGGGAGAGGGAGAAACACCCCGACUUCCCCUUCCUCCUGCUCUCCACGCGCCCACCAGACCCUCCUGUGGGCCAAACCCGGUUAGGAGCCAGCUGACAAGGGGCCUGAGAACGUGAGCCUGGAGCGUCAGGCGCCCUGAAUCCAAGCCAGGGGAGAAAGGGCGAGGAAAGGAUCUCAGGUCCAAGAUACUCAGAACCAGCACGUUUGCAUGACAAUGCCCUCUGCCUUCACUGUGGGAAAAUUGUAGAAAAUACAGAUAUACAAAGAGAAAAAGGACAUUAACGACGCCUGCUUUAUCUUCCUCAUAAAAUGUUUGUGAGGAUAAACUGAUGGAAUAGAAGAAGAAUGGAUUACAGUCACAGAAGGCUUCCAUUGCCAACACUUCACACAUGCCCUCACUGAAUCUUCACAAAAACGCCAUUUUAUACGAAACCACAUCACUGCAAGGUUAAGAGGCUUCUAAUAAAAGGUGGAGCUGGCAUUCAAGCCAAAGCAGAA